UACGGAGGGGGCUAGCGUUGUUCGGAAAUACUGGGCGUAAAGCGCACGUAGGCGGCCUGGCAAGUCAGGGGUGAAAUCCCGGAGCUCAACUCCGGAACUGCCCUUGAAACUGCUUCGCUUGAAUCCUGGAGAGGCGAGUGGAAUUCCGAGUGUAGAGGUGAAAUUCGUAGAUAUUCGGAAGAACACCAGUGGCGAAGGCGACUCGCUGGACAGGUAUUGACGCUGAGGUGCGAAAGCGUGGGGAGCAAACAGG
rnacentral:rRNA from 1 species